AUUAUUUAACGGCCGCGGUAUCCUAACCGUGCAAAGGUAGCAUAAUCACUUGCCCAUUAAUUGUGGGCUAGAAUGAAAGGACUAACGAAAUAAAAGCUGUCUCUAUAAGUAUACUAAAAAUUAAUCUCUAACUGAAGAGUGUUAGAUACAUUUGAAGGACAAGAAGACCCUAUAGAGCUUUAUCCUAACAAAGACAAAAACUUUCUUAAGAUUCGGUUGGGGCGACCUGGGAAUCAUUUAUCAUCCCUAGACAAAAGAUCAAUAAAUCUAGAUAACGACCCUUUUUAAGAUCAUAAAAACAAGCUACCUUAGGGAUAACAGACUAAUCCCAUUAAAGAGUCCUUAUCAAUAAUGGGGAUUGGCACCUCGAUGUUGGCUUAGGGAAUCUAUAUGGCGCAAAAGUCAUAUAAAGAUGGUUUGUUCAACCAAUAAAACCCUACAUGAGCUGAGUUCAGACCGGCGUAAGCCAGGUUAGUUUCUAUCCUCAAUAACAAAAAUCUACUUAUAGUACGAAAGGACGUAAGUAUGAGCAACAAUUGUAAUCAAUGAAUUUAUAUAAAAUAAAUUAAACAAAAAUAACUAUCCACUAUA
rnacentral:rRNA from 1 species